GAUUAUGAGCCAAUGAUUUUUCUUUGAUUGUAACCCCUAGGGAGUCAUUGAAUUUAAAUUCAUUCUUCUAUCCUUCACUUGAUUAGUUCAAUAUACCUAUACUUCAAGAAUCAAAUUGCAGCAUGCAGGUAUCUCUUUCUCUCUUUCUCUCUUUCACUGCAAGAAUCAAAUAACAAGAUCUAGUAUUAAAAAAAAAUUAAACACUUUAUUUGUAGUUUUUUCUAUUCAUUUACACAUUCCUUUGUAUACCGUGAAUUGAAUAACUUUCAGGUAAAGAAUCUCUACACCCAAAGGGAAGAUUAAAUCAAAUAGUAUAUAAAGAUCUAAUGGGAGAGUGACAUAGUUAAAUUG
rnacentral:lncRNA from 1 species